rnacentral:rRNA from 1 species
GUGCCAGCCGCCGCGGUAACACGUAGGGGGCGAGCGUUGUCCGGAUUUAUUGGGCGUAAAGAGCUCGUAGGCGGUUUGGCAAGUCGGGUGUGAAAUUUCGAGGCUCAACCUCGAAACGCCACUCGAUACUGCCAUGACUGGAGUCCGGUAGAGGAGUGCGGAAUUCCUGGUGUAGCGGUGAAAUGCGCAGAUAUCAGGAGGAACACCAACGGCGAAGGCAGCACUCUGGGCCGGUACUGACGCUGAGGAGCGAAAGCGUGGGGAGCAAACAGGAUUAGAAACCCGCGUAGUCC